GGUCCGGUAGCUCAGUUGGAUAGAGCAGCAGCCUUCUAAGCUGCGGGCCGUGGGUUCGAAUCCCGCCCGGAUCA
rnacentral:tRNA from 1 species